rnacentral:tRNA from 1 species
GGAGAGGUGUCCGAGUGGUUGAAGGAGCACGCCUGGAAAGUGUGUAUACCCUAAUAAGGUAUCGCGGGUUCGAAUCCCGCUCUCUCCG